rnacentral:rRNA from 1 species
AUACGGAGGAUCCGAGCGUUAUCCGAAUUUAUUGGGUUUAAAGGGUGCGCAGGCGGCCAUUUAAGUCAGCGGUUAAAUCGUGGGGCUCAACCCCAUUCUGCCGUUGAUACUGGGUGGCUUGAUUGCGGUCGAGGUUGGCGGAAUUCGUUGUGUAGCGGGGAAAUGCAUAGAUAUGACGAAGAACACCGAUUGCGUAGGCAGCUGACCAGACCGCAAAUGACGCUCAUGCACGAAAGUGCGGGGAUCGAACAGGAUUAGAUACCCUGGUAGUCCGCACAGUAAACGAUGAAUACUUGUUUUCGGCGAUAUAAUUUCGGAGGCAAAGCGAAAGCGAUAAGUAUUCCACCUGGGGAGUACGCCGGCAACGGUGAAACUCAAAUGAAUUGACGGGG